rnacentral:rRNA from 1 species
GACGAACGCUGGCGGCGUGCUUAACACAUGCAAGUCGAACGGAAAGGCCCCCUUGUGGGGUACUCGAGUGGCGAACGGGUGAGUAACACGUGAGUAACCUACCCUUGACUUUGGGAUAACUUCAGGAAACUGGGGCUAAUACCGGAUAGGAGCUCCUGCUGCAUGGUGGGGGUUGGAAAGUUUCGGCGGUUGGGGAUGGACUCGCGGCUUAUCAGCUUGUUGGUGGGGUAGUGGCUCACCAAGGCUUUGACGGGUAGCCGGCCUGAGAGGGUGGCCGGCCACAUUGGGACUGAGAUACGGCCCAGACUCCUACGGGAGGCAGCAGUGGGGAAUAUUGCACAAUGGGCGGAAGCCUGAUGCAGCAACGCCGCGUGCGGGAUGACGGCCUUCGGGUUGUAAACCGCUUUCGCCUGUGACGAAGCGCGAGUGACGGUAAUGGGUAAAGAAGCACCGGCUAACUACGUG